rnacentral:rRNA from 1 species
CAAAGAUGGGUAGCUGGUCUGAGAGGAUGACCAGCCACACUGGAACUGAGACACGGUCCAGACUCCUACGGGAGGCAGCAGUAGGGAAUUUUGGGCAAUGGGCGAAAGCCUGACCCAGCAACGCCGCGUGUGGGAUGAAGGCCCUCGGGUCGUAAACCACUGUCAGGAGGAAAGAAAAGUCGGCCGGGUAAUAUUCGGUCGACCUGACGGUACCUCCAAAGGAAGCACCGGCUAACUCCGUGCCAGCAGCCGCGGUAAUACGGAGGGUGCAAGCGUUGUUCGGAAUUACUGGGCGUAAAGCGCGUGUAGGUGGUUGAGUAAGUCGAAUGUGAAAGCCCCGGGCUCAACCCGGGAAGUGCAUCCGAAACUGCUCGACUAGAGUCCCGGAGAGGAAGGCAGAAUUCCCAAUGUAGGGGUGAAAUCCGUAGAUAUUGGGAGGAAUACCGGUGGCGAAGGCGGCCUUCUGGACGGUGACUGACACUCAGACGCGAAAGCGUGGGGAGCAAACAGGAUUAGAUACCCUGGUAGUCCACGCUGUAAACGUUGCGAACUAGGUGUCGGGGGUAUUCACCCCUCCGGUGCCGAAGCUAACGUCUUAAGUUCGCCGCCUGGGAAGUACGGCCGCAAGGCUAAAACUCAAAUGAAUUGACGG